GAACGCUGGCGGCGUGCCUAACACAUGCAAGUCGAGCGAUUCUCCUCGGAGAAGAGCGGCGGACGGGUGAGUAACGCGUGGGUAACCUGCCCUGUACACACGGAUAACAUACCGAAAGGUAUGCUAAUACGAGAUAAUAUGCUUUUAUCGCAUGGUAGAAGUAUCAAAGCUCCGGCGGUACAGGAUGGACCCGCGUCUGAUUAGCUAGUUGGUAAGGUAACGGCUUACCAAGGCGACGAUCAGUAGCCGACCUGAGAGGGUGAUCGGCCACAUUGGAACUGAGACACGGUCCAAACUCCUACGGGAGGCAGCAGUGGGGAAUAUUGCACAAUGGGCGAAAGCCUGAUGCAGCAACGCCGCGUGAGCGAUGAAGGCCUUCGGGUCGUAAAGCUCUGUCCUUAAGGAAGAUAAUGACGGUACUUGAGGAGGAAGCCCCGGCUAACUACGUGCCAGCAGCCGCGGUAAUACGUAGGGGGCUAGCGUUAUCCGGAAUUACUGGGCGUAAAGGGUGCGUAGGUGGUUUCUUAAGUCAGAGGUGAAAGGCUACGGCUCAACCGUAGUAAGCCUUUGAAACUGGGAAACUUGAGUGCAGGAGAGGAGAGUGGAAUUCCUAGUGUAGCGGUGAAAUGCGUAGAUAUUAGGAGGAACACCAGUUGCGAAGGCGGCUCUCUGGACUGUAACUGACACUGAGGCACGAAAGCGUGGGGAGCAAACAGGAUUAGAUACCCUGGUAGUCCACGCCGUAAACGAUGAGUACUAGCUGUCGGAGGUUACCCCCUUCGGUGGCGCAGCUAACGCAUUAAGUACUCCGCCUGGGAAGUACGCUCGCAAGAGUGAAACUCAAAGGAAUUGACG
rnacentral:rRNA from 1 species